GUAUUGAUCGCGUAUCACCGCAAAAAGAAAAUACAUUCUACACUGCUUUAAGGUUUGUGUGAAAAAACGUGAGCACCCCCCUCCGAGGAAGGGGGGACACACGCGGUGAUGCACAAAGGGGUGAGAUGGAUAUUUGUAUGUGAGAGCACUCGGGCGUGCACGACAAAAAGUCAGCGACAACCCGGGUACCCCCAUUGUACGAUAAUGAUCCUUCCGCAGGUUCACCUACGGAAA
rnacentral:misc_RNA from 1 species